ACAACAGCGGAAGAAGCUCAUGAUAUCAGCGAUUGACUGUUAUCUGCACAAAAAGCUUCUGUUUGUGUUUAUAUGAUUAAGUUUACUAUCGAGACAGACAUCUAAGUGUUUAGCUAGCGGUUUAUAGUCAUCCUGUGCUUUGACGUAUUUAUUUUUCAUCAUGAGCUGUUUGCUGAUGAGAGAAAGCCCUAUGAUCAUUGCGCUUAAUAAGGAGAAGACAGUCUAUGACGGGUUCAUCACAGUGCUGGAAAAAGACUUCAGGAUAAGAAUAUCUCUACCCCCUGAUCAUCAGAUGAAACAGGCAAAAUUACAUUGUUGCUGGCAAAUGAAACGGCUACUUCAUGGUUAUCAACAUAUUGUGAAGCAGAGAUUACAGCAUUCAACUAAUUUGAUGGCUUUUAUUCUGGAACUCAGAACAGUAUUGGAAGUGGCGUUGAAGAGUCAACCAGGAUGCCAGUCCUUCUCACCACCUCAGUAUUAUUCCCAGCUGAUAACCGAGAUGGAGAUCUUAGGAUGGGAUAAGCUGCUCUUCAUCGAUGCAGAGUUCCGCACACUCAAGAUGAAGGCAGAGGACUCUGCAGGUCGUCAGCACACUAUUACAAUCAAGCUCAAGUCUAAGUAUCCAGCUGAGGCCCCGGAGUUUGCUGCCGAUCUUCCUGUUCCAUUGGUCAUCACGUGGACCUCUCAGAGCACCUUGGCCCUUGUCCACAGUCAGUUCCUGAUAAACGUUGAGGCUCUGUCCGAGUUCUGGUCGGUUCUGGAUGAGAUAGAUGACCAGACGUGGGUGUUGGAACCAGAAAAACCCACAAAAGCAGACUCCAUGAGAAGGAUCGCCAUCGGAAACAAUGUCUCAAUAAAGGUACAAAUUGACCCCAGACACCCCAAAAUGCUGCCGGAGUGCUGUUUGCUCGGGGCUGAGCACGGUAGGCAUUUUUCAUAUCUGCAAAUCUCUCUGUUUAUCUCCAUACAGCUUUUAUUACGGUUUCCUGCAUGUGAGAGGCAGCUCGUCUGUGAGGAACUCGUGCCUCCCUCUCCUGCUCUUGUUUUUCAAUUACCUCCGUACAUAAGUGCACAUGCUGUAAAUGCUUUACUGCAUUUAGACAGGACCGUUACAGCUGGAGCGGCUGAGCUGACAGCCCGCAAUAUGUUUGCGGCGCAAUGUGCUUUUAGAUUUCGAGUGAGAUGGUGCUGGAAUGGAGGUCAGUUUGCACUAUUUAAGCCGCCGUGAUUGUUUCUUUAAAUCCAAGGUCAUGCUUGGCUGACAAUGGCACACAGAACACAUUGUCGGUUGCCUAGCAAUGUUAUUCAUUGAUAUUAAAUCCACACUUCAAUAGUCAAGACGGUGGCAGUCGCGGACCCUCCGAGCGCGGGGUCAGACAGAAAUAUUGCUUUUUGCAUUUACAAAUGACAAACAGAGAGUGCGGCUAUCACGUCCCUCCCAGAUUGAUCUCUCGGGUGGAACAGCCAUGAUGAGCGCGUUUUAUUUGAAUUAUUUGAAUAUUUCCCUUUCUGUCAGACUGUUUGUCACCGUAGGAAAUGUCCUGUUCUUUCGCCCGCGCUGCUGUGGCAUUUCUACGAGAGAAUAGAGAUUAGAGUUGUCACUCCUUUACGGAAUAAAUUGAAUGCCAAUAUGCAUUUAUGGAACCCUGACUGCAGUGUCCUACAGAAUAUGAAGGAUGU